CAUGGCUCUUGUGGAACCUGAGUAUGCCUCAAAGUUGCUGCAGCCUUUCACAACUUUAUUCUAAUGGCAGUAAUGAUGAUCUGUUUCCCUGUUCUUAGCCUAUCAGUUAACAAGAAACAUGUUAAAAGAAAAGGAGGACUUGUGGCACCUUAGAGACUAACAAAUUUAUUUGAGCAUAAGCUUUCGUGAGCUACAACUCACUUUAUCGGAUGCAUGCUGUGGAAAAUACAGUGGGGAGAUUUAUAUACACAGAGAACAUGAAACAAUGAGUGUUACCAUACACACUGUAACAAGAGUGAUCAGCCCGAGUCGAAGGUCUCUGCCUUCAGAGAAGGAAGCUGAGAAAAGGAACAUGGAAAGACCUGUGAUUUGGCUGGAGAGACAGCAAAGGAAAGGGCUAGAUGAAUGGCUCGAGGAGUGAAGGAGCGUAAGCUGGCAGACACAGCAAAGCUUCAAGUAUGGUUUUGGCAGUGAAAAGGAAUUUUCUCCAUAAUUUCUUCAGGCCAAGACCUAUGUGAGACAGUAGUCUCCUUGGAGUCAGUGAGAUGACAUACAUGUUGAAAGUUAAGCACUUGUUUAAUUGACUGAAGCCUGAAGACCUAGGUUAGCAAAGAAAGUGGCUUGGCCAUGUGGAUCAAUUAUCCCUAGCAAAAGAGAAACAGUCCUUGAAUAAAGAUGUCUUCAUUAAGUCAGGAGAAUUUACAAACUUGAUUUGGCCAGGCUGCAAGUCUACUCCCCCACUCUGCCUCCCUAAAGAAUCCAAUAUGGUUGUGGGCUGUGUGGUGAAGAUGUUUGAAUGUUGUUUUUUUGCUCUGAUAUUGUGUAUAUUCCUCAUUCUGUAGCCUUAUAUAUUCGGGAAUUAUAAAUUAUCUUCACACUGGAGCCAGAAUAUACUUUAAAUCUUUUAUUCCUAA